rnacentral:rRNA from 1 species
UACGGAGGGUGCGAGCGUUGUUCGGAAUUACUGGGCGUAAAGCGCGUGCAGGCGGCCUCCUCAGUCUGGUGUGAAAGCCCGAGGCUCACCCUCGGAAGUGCAUUGGAUACUGGGAGGCUGGAGUACCGGAGGGGAGGGUGGAAUUCCUGGUGUAGCGGUGAAAUGCGUAGAGAUCAGGAGGAACACCGGUGGCGAAGGCGGCCCUCUGGACGGAUACUGACGCUGAGACGCGACAGCGUGGGGAGCAAACAGG